rnacentral:rRNA from 1 species
AAGUCGUAACAAGGUUUCCGUAGGUGAACCUGCGGAAGGAUCAUUAUUGAAUGAAUCUAGAGUUGGUUGUUGCUGGCCUCUAGAGGCAUGUGCACACCUUCUCUUUCAUCCACACACACCUGUGCACUUGUGAGACGGAGGGCUGGAAUUUCUUUUUUAAAUUUCUAACCUUCCAUCUGCUACAUUACACAAACUCAAUUUAAUUUAAACCGAAUGUAAUUGAUGUAACGCAUCUAAUACUAACUUUCAACAAUGGAUCUCUUGGCUCCGGCAUCGAUGAAGAACGCAGCGAAAUGCGAUAGCUAAUAUGGAUUGCAGAAUUCAGUGAAUCAUCGAGUUUUUGAACGCACAUUGCGCCCUUUGGCAUUCCAAAGGGCAUGUCCGACCGAGCGUCGCAACGCCGCCCGAAUCCGGCCUCUGGCAGUGGAAUCGGUGUUGGGGCUUUGCGCGGGGCUCUUAGCAGCCCCGCGGCCCUGAAAUCCAGUGGCGGCUCCUCGGGGAACCCUCAGCACAGUAACAUGCCCUGCCGCUCUGGAACCUUGUGGGAGACCUGCCGUAAAACCUGUUCUCUCAGAACACAUUUACUGGUUGGCCUCGGGUCGGACAAGAUUACCCGCUGAACUUAA